rnacentral:rRNA from 1 species
UACGUAGGGGGCAAGCGUUGUCCGGAAUCAUUGGGCGUAAAGCGCGCGUAGGCGGCCCUGUAAGUCCGCUGUAAAAGUCAAAGGCUCAACCUUUGAAAGCCGGUGGAUACUGCAGGGCUAGAGUCCGGAAGAGGAGAGUGGAAUUCCUAGUGUAGCGGUGAAAUGCGCAGAUAUCAGGAAGAACACCCGUGGCGAAGGCGGCUCUCUGGGACGGUACUGACGCUGAGACGCGAAAGCGUGGGGAGCGAACAGG